UGGGGAAUUUUCCGCAAUGGGCGAAAGCCUGACGGAGCAACGCCGCGUGAGGGAUGAAGGCCUCUGGGCUGUAAACUUCUUUUAUCAAGGAAGAAGAUCUGACGGUACUUGAUGAAUAAGCCACGGCUAAUUCCGUGCCAGCAGCCGCGGUAAUACGGGAGUGGCAAGCGUUAUCCGGAAUUAUUGGGCGUAAAGCGUCCGCAGGCGGCCUUGUAAGUCUGUCGUCAAAGCGUGGAGCUUAACUCCAUUUAAGCGAUGGAAACUGCAAGGCUAGAGUGUGGUAGGGGCAGAGGGAAUUCCCGGUGUAGCGGUGAAAUGCGUAGAUAUCGGGAAGAACACCAGUGGCGAAGGCGCUCUGCUGGGCCAUAACUGACGCUCAUGGACGAAAGCCAGGGGAGCGAAAGGGAUUAGAUACCCCUGUAGUCCUGGCCGUAAACGAUGAACACUAGGUGUCGGGGGAAUCGACCCCCUCGGUGUCGUAGCCAACGCGUUAAGUGUUCCGCCUGGGGAGUACGCACGCAAGUGUGAAACUCAAAGGAAUUGACGGGGGCCCGCACAAGCGGUGGAGUAUGUGGUUUAAUUCGAUGCAACGCGAAGAACCUUACCAGGGUUUGACAUCCUGCGAAUCCCUGGAAACGAGGGAGUGCCUUCGGGAGCGCAGAGACAGGUGGUGCAUGGCU
rnacentral:rRNA from 1 species